rnacentral:lncRNA from 1 species
AUGCCUACCAGGAGAACUGGAACCCAAGCUGAACUCUUCUUGGACGAUGAUGUGGCUACUAAGAGAACCAUUUAUAUCUGCCAUAUCAACAUGAAUGAUCUUAUUCAAGAAAUCUACUCGCAGUUCCACUGAGACCAACUACAUGUGGAGAGAGAGAUGUAAGGGAGCUGCCCCCAAGGAGCUCUGUGCAAUGUGCUGAUGGAUUGAGGGUGGCACUUUGUGUCUAAUUACUGGUAUGGGAGGACAGGGGCAUGGAGGAAAGAGGAGGAAAGUGAAUGGCAAAGGGAGUGAGGAAAAGAGACCAGGAGUUUUCUGCAAAGAAAGAAGAGUU